CUCUUUUACCUGGCACGCCCUAUUUUCCUGCGAUUUCCUCCCGUCUUUACCUAUUAUUGGAGGAUUCCUGGGGCGUCUUCCGCUGGCUGGGUUGGAAUUUGAUUUCUUGUCCUCCUUUCCCAUCCGGGUUUCUUGCAAGCCGUCUUGCAAAGAAGCCGCCACUUUUACUGCGCAAUUCAGAAGGAAGGAAGAGACGAGGAGACUCUCCCUCUCUCUUUCAUGCAGCCAGGGAUGGAGCCCCUCCAAGGGAAGGAGAGCAACGGCGCCGUUCCUGACUGCAAUGGGGCUGCUGCCCCCCCUGCGAAGCAGCAGCUGCCUGAAGGGACGGACGCCCUUCGGUAUGCCAACAUCCUCCGGUCACGCAACAAAUUUGCUGAUGCUCUCCAGUUGUACAGUACCGUUCUUGACAAGGAUGGAACCAAUGUGGAGGCCCUUAUCGGAAAAGGGAUCUGCCUCCAGGCCCAGAGCCUGCCAAGGCAGGCCUUGGAUUGCUUCACCGAGGCUGUCAAGGUCGAUCCCAAGAAUGCGUGUGCUCUCACACAUUGUGGGAUGAUAUACAAAGACGAGGGUCACCUAGUUGAGGCCGCAGAGGCAUAUCAAAAAGCUCGAAGUGCGGAUCCUUCCUAUAAAGCUGCUGCGGAAUUUCUUGCUAUAGUUUUGACCGAUCUUGGAACUAGCUUGAAGCUUGCAGGCAAUACAGAAGAUGGGAUUCAAAAAUAUUGUGAAGCUCUUGAAGUGGAUAGCCACUAUGCGCCUGCUUAUUACAACCUUGGGGUGGUUUAUUCAGAGAUGAUGCAGUUUGACGUAGCUCUUACUUGUUAUGAAAAAGCUGCAUUGGAGAGACCAUUGUAUGCUGAAGCUUAUUGCAAUAUGGGGGUUAUUUACAAGAAUCGGGGAGAGCUAGACGCAGCAAUUGCCUGCUACGACAGGUGCUUGACUAUUUCCCCCAACUUUGAGAUUGCUAAGAAUAACAUGGCAAUAGCACUAACCGACUUGGGUACAAAGGUUAAAAUUGAAGGUGACAUCAAUCAAGGUGUGGCAUAUUACAAGAAAGCUCUGUUCUAUAAUUGGCACUAUGCUGAUGCAAUGUAUAAUCUUGGUGUUGCAUAUGGUGAAAUGUUGAAUUUUGAGAUGGCUAUUGUUUUUUAUGAACUUGCUCUGCACUUCAAUCCUCGCUGUGCGGAGGCAUGCAACAACCUGGGAGUAAUAUACAAGGAUAGGGAUAAUCUCGACAAAGCUGUUGAAUGUUAUCAAAUGGCCUUGUCAAUUAAGCCAAAUUUCUCCCAGUCAUUGAAUAACCUUGGAGUUGUCUAUACAGUUCAGGGCAAGAUGGAUGCUGCUGCAAGCAUGAUUGAGAAGGCCAUACUUGCAAAUCCCACUUAUGCUGAAGCAUACAAUAACUUAGGUGUUCUUUACAGAGAUGCUGGAAGUAUUACGUUAUCUGUACAGGCAUAUGAAAGAUGCCUGCAAAUUGAUCCUGAUUCACGAAAUGCCGGUCAGAACCGUUUGCUUGCCAUGAACUAUAUUGACGAGGGCUCAGAUGACAGGCUUUAUGAUGCUCACAGGGAAUGGGGAAAGCGCUUUAUGAAAUUGUAUGCACAGUAUACUAGUUGGGAUAACAUAAGAGUCGCUGAUCGUCCACUGGUCAUUGGUUAUGUGUCUCCUGAUUUUUUUACUCACUCCGUGUCUUACUUCGUUGAAGCCCCCCUUACACACCAUGAUUACACAAAUUGCAAGGUGGUCGUCUAUUCUGGUGUUGUGAAGGCAGAUGCCAAGACCCUUCGAUUCAAGGAUAAGGUGUUAAAAAAGGGCGGGGUCUGGAGAGAUAUAUAUGGUAUUGAUGAAAAGAAGGUUGCUACCUUGGUCAGAGAGGAUAAAGUGGAUAUACUUGUGGAACUUACUGGUCAUACAGCAAAUAAUAAACUAGGAACAAUGGCGUGCCGCCCUGCUCCUAUUCAGGUUACAUGGAUUGGUUACCCUAAUACGACAGGUUUACCAGCAAUUGACUACAGAAUAACAGAUUCAUUGGCUGAUUCUCCUAAUACAAACCAAAGGCAUGUUGAAGAGUUGGUGCGCCUUCCUGAAAGUUUUCUUUGUUACACUCCUUCUCCAGAAGCUGGGCCGAUCACACCGAAAGUUAUGCAAGUUUGGGCCAGAAUAUUAUGUGCAGUCCCUAACUCACGGCUUGUGGUUAAGUGCAAGCCAUUCUGCUGUGACAGUAUAAGACAGAAAUUUUUAUCGACACUUGAGGAGUUGGGUUUGGAGUCACUACGAGUUGAUUUACUACCACUCAUCCAUCUCAACCAUGACCACAUGCAAGCAUAUUCCUUAAUGGACAUCAGCCUAGAUACGUUUCCAUAUGCUGGGACUACCACUACAUGUGAAUCUCUUUACAUGGGGGUUCCAUGUGUUACAAUGGCUGGUUCAGUUCAUGCUCAUAAUGUUGGUGUUAGCCUACUCACUAAAGUUGGGUUGGGGAGGCUGGUUGCCAAAACGGAGGAUGAAUAUGUUAGCUUAGCAUUGGAGUUGGCAUCAGAUGUGAGUGCCUUAGAAGAACUGAGGAAGAGCCUCCGGGAACUGAUGAUAAAAUCACCAGUCUGUGACGGAGAGAGUUUCACACGUGGCCUGGAAUCUGCAUACCGAAGCAUGUGGCAUAGGUACUGUGAUGGGGAUUCACCAGCUCUCAGGCGCUUAGAAGUGUUGGCGGGCGAAGACUUGGACAAGACGGCUGUGAAACUUGCAGAUCUUAAAGCACAGAGAGUGAAUGCUACUGCUGAGGAAGAUAAUCAGUCCCCGCUAAAGAAGGCUGACGCCACGUCCAAGGGAGGCGAGCCCCAAAUAAUGGUGAACGAUGUGAGUUCUCCUGAAGGUAACCAGGCCCUCGUAACGGCGAAAGCGCAGCCCCAAAUAAUGGUGAAUGGUGGGAGUUCACCUCACUCCCCUUCGGUGAGAUGCGAAGCAAAUGGGCAUAGCAGCCGAUGACCAAUGGGAGGCUCCAUUGAUGCAGGCACACACUGAUGUAUUAUAGGUUGAGAUUUGCCAUUGAUGUAUCAUCACAAAGUCGCUGCUGGGGGUCAAUAUAGGUGUUCUGGUUGUUGACCUCGGAAAUGGAUGUGGUUGUGAAACGCUGGUGAUCCCUGACUUGUAGCAGAUGUAAUAUAAUUCGUGGGGGAUGCUUAGUCUGAUUUGUAGAUCAAGGUGUAUGAGUAAAGAGUAUGUGCCAAGUUGAGUUGGCAUGGUAGAAACAGAGAGAAAGGCGUUGGUUGUAUAUGUAGGAACAGCUUCUUGAUUCUCUAAAAUUUAACCGAGGCUAUUUCAACUUCUAGAUUCUCUUGAGUUUAACUGUUUUUGUCUUCA
rnacentral:rRNA from 1 species